ACUUCUCUCCCAGCGCCAUAUUGUGGGAGAGCAGAUGCAUAGAAUAAGUCCUAAUUCGAGUAACUUAGUCUAGUCCGGAUUGCUCCCCACAGUAAAUGUUCUCUUGUUUGCAUAUAUGUAUACAAUAUGGAUUUUAAAACAGUUAAAAAUGCAAGACAAAAAGUAUCCCACCAGAAUAUACAGGAGAUUGAUGACUGCACAACAACAACAACAAAAUGCAAACCAGGAUGGUCACAGUUUACCCAUGGUAGGAUAUUAAGAAAAGAAAGAUUACUAAUGAUAUACACAGAUGAUAGUGACAAAACCAGAAUCAAAAUGGAAAAUAAGUAAGGGAUGUUAAUUUCAUGAUUCAAAUUAUAGUGUGAUUACCAUAGGUAACAAUGAAUAAUAUGGUAUCAAUAGUAAAAGACAGACACAAAUAUACAUGGAAAUAUUUGAAAAGUAUGCCUAACAUUACUGGCACUAACACACAGGAAAAUGGUAAUGGUGAGGAACUAAAUGAAAAUAUUAUGGCUAUUACUAGAAUAAUGUAAAAGAUGAUACCAAUGUUUCAAUCUAAAUAAUAGAAAAUUUCAAGUCAAUGAUUAAUUUUGAAUAACAUAAGAAUAAAGUGAAAUAAAUAUGUGGCUAUAAAAAGAUCCCCAUAUACCUGGUUUUAGGCAGCUGUGUACAAUAAAAUCACUAUAGCAACUAUAAGAAUUUUGAGUUACUUGAUGUCACAAUGAUAGAACCUACCAAUAAAUCAACAGGUUACUUCUAGUGUGGCAUAAACUAGGUUAGUGAUGAUAUACCUAGGUGACAGUAAUAAUUCAAACAAAAUGAAAUUUGAAAAGGGAUGAACUCAUUAAGUACUGGAAGUUAGAAGUCCAAGAUGAAAGUAUCAACAGUGCCCAUGGCGUUACCACCUAAUGAAGUAUAUUAAACUAGAAUUCUCAGCAGUUAUUUAAUACUGAAUUCUAAUACGUUGGGAUAUUUUAAGCUUCUGAGAUAACAUUUUAAAUUUACACUAUAGUAAAAAGGCAUAAUGAUUCAAGGAACAAGUUUAACAAAUAAAAAGAAAAAAUCCUAGUUUAGUGGGAAUAUAGACAGUGGCUAAAAACAACAAUUUGAAUGGAAAAUUAAAGACUUCAAAUAAUAAAAUCAAUUUUUUAAAUUCUUUACUAAAAGCCUCAGAGAAAGUCUUUCAUUAUUUAUUAAAUGUCAAUGCAAAAAUGGAUUUAUAUGAUCCCUUAAAAACUGAUUAAUUUGUGUGCAAUAAAGUGGAACUUUUCUCAAGUUUUCUUGACACUCUCACAGAAAUACUUAUGUUCAGGGACUGGAAGAAUUAAUAUCACCAAGAUGUCCAUACUACCAAAAUCAAUUUACAGAUUCAAUGUGAUCCCAAUCAAAAUACCAAUGACAUUCUUCCUAGAUCUAGAAAAAAAGGAUGCUAAAGCUCAUAGAAGCACAGAGACCCCCAAAUACCUAAAUCAAUCUUAUACAACAAAAACAAAGCUGAACACAUCACAAUACCAGAUUUUAAGAUAUAUUACAGGGUAAUUAUAAUCAAAACAGCUUGGUACUGACAAAAAAUAGAAAUGUAGACCAAUAAUAGAAACUCCAGAAACCAAUCCGUGCAUCUACAACCAACUAAUUGUUGGCAAAGGAGCUACCCUGGAGCCAGCGCAGUCUCUUCAACAGAUGGUGCUGGAAAAACUGGAUCUCCAUGUGCAGAAGUAUAAAGUUAAACCCCUCCCUUACAGCUUACACAAAAGUCCACUUAAAAUGGAUCAAAGACACAAAUCUACAACCAGAUUCCUUCCAAUUACUAGAGAAUAUUGGGGAAACUCUGCAUGGCAUUGGCAUAGAGAAAUACUUCUUGGAAAAUCCCCAGAAGCACAGAUAGUCAAAGCCAAAAUUGGCAAAUGGGAUUACUUCAAAUUAAGAAGCUUUUGCACUGCAAAAGUAACAUUCAGCACAGUGAAGAGGAAACUGAAGGAAUGGUUGAAAAUAUUGGCAAACUAUGAAACUGAUAAAAGAUUACUUUGCAGAAUCCAUAAAGAGAUCAAGAAACUCUGGGAAGAAUAGAGGAACUGAAGACCCCAUAAAUGACAGCUCCUGCCCUGCAGGAACCCCAUACACACAGCCUGGCCUCUCCCUGGUGACCACUCCAGUCCCCACUGCACAAUCAAGGAGACGCAGGGCUGCAAUCACACAGAUGGCUCUGGAGCCCAGAAGUCUCUGAGAGCAGGGCUGUGUCCUUUCACCAGCAAGAUCCUGCCUCCUCCUGAGACUCCUCUUGUUUCCCCAUGGGUCUUCCUGGGAGAAUCCUACCUGCUUAAGGUGCUUCACCUCUGAUCCAGCUCCCUGAUAACAGUGUGGGCAAAGCAGUGGAAGAUGGACCAAGUAUUUGAUUCUCUGCCCCUCAUGCAGGGUAGCUGGAUGAGGCUCCAGCUCCUGGCUUUCACCUGGUCCAACGAUGGGAGUUAUAAUCAUCUGGGAAGUAAACCAGCAGACAGAAGAUUUCUCUCUGUGUCUCUCCUGAUCUCUUUAACUCUGACUUUCAAAAUAAAUAAGUAAAUCUAAAAAAUGAAUGCACUCAUCAAGCUGCACCUACUGUUUUAUCAUAAACUUAAUGAAUGCACUGAUAAUUCUAACAGAUGGAACUAGACAUAAAGAAUUAGAAUUUUAAUACUUACUAAUGUAUAGAAACCAAGGUGAGGGAUUACAUUCAAAAGAUGAGUAUAAAAACAUAUUUGACUUUGGAAUGUGUUGCUGUUAUAUUAAUAUGCAUAUAGUUCAUACUUCAGAAAAUUCACUUUCUGCAAAAUAGUCUAUAAAAUCAAAGCUUUGAAGGAAUCUAUCUCAAUCAAUCAUCUCUUUGUAUAAAGAACUUUCAAGUGCCCUUGGUAGAUACCAUUUUGUGCAAUAGUUCUAAACGUGAAAAUCAGAUGAUUGACUUGUAAAUAUCCAUUUUAUUUUUUCAAGUGAAACUAUACUUGAAUGCCAAUAUAUGGACAGGAAAAGCUUGCUGAAAUGAGAAGCCUAAUAUGCUAUCUCUCAUCAGCCUCUCCUUUUCUUAGGGGUUGUUUCUGAGCUAUUUGUGAGGAUGGCUAAGAUUUGUAGAACCAUUUAAACUUUAAACUUUAGGGAGAUUUUUCUUUCUCUAAGAUUUUGCUUUAGUUAUAAUCUAAAAGUGAGUUAAGCAUGCAUCUACAUUUUUAUUGAGAGUAAAGUUUGGACUUUCACAGACUGAUUUUUGAUUUUGUAAAUAGAUGGCAAUAACGAAUCUGAGUUUUCAUUAAUAUGUUGUAUUUUAUUUUUGUAACAUUGUACCAAAUCUAUUUGUUUCAAACAAAUAAUUUUGAAAAUUACUUCUUCCUAAGAGAAGAAUUUUAAAAAUUAUUUUUAAAUAGAUCUAUCUAUCUACCAGAAAGGCAGAGUAUUAGAAAGGGAGAGACAGAAAGGUCUUCCACCUUCUGGUUAGCUUCCAAAAUGACUGUAACAGCCAGCACUGGGCCAGGGUGAAUUAAGGAGCCUGGAACUUCAUUCAGGAUUCCCACAUGGGUUAUCAGUGGCUGAGUACCUUGGCCAUAUCCUCUGCCUGCCCAAGUGCAUUAGCAGGCAGCUAGAUUGGAAAUGCAGAGGACUAGGACUCAAACCAGGAUUGUGAUGUAGGAUGGUGGUGUCCCAAGUGGCACUUAACCUGCUGCAUCUUAAUGCCAACCAUAACAGGAGUAAUUCUGAAAUAAUUUUCAGGCUUUCAUAUUUGCUUACUGCACUUUUCAGAAAGAAUUCUUUAAAGUCAUCCUGAGUUUUAUAGUAUGUUUUUAUGUGGAAUAUAAAUAAAUAAAUAAAUAUGGAAACAUAUUAGCUACAGCUUCUAGUUUGACAAUAUUAUGUGUUGAUUUCAGAUUUUGAUUGUUCAUAUGCUGUGCUGUCUUAUAUUAAGGUGUGAUUUGAAUUUAUUACAGGUGCUGUGCUAGAGAUGUUAGCAGUUCUCAAAAGCAAUGUUGAAGGCACUAAGCAUGUCAUGUCUUCAUUUUCAAUAUUGCUUUAAAUAGAAAUAAAUCGUGCUUGUCACACAGAAUUGGAAGGAUUUACAGGGAAAUGGUUUGAUGAAAAAAAGUGCUGAAAACAUAAACAUAUCAACAUAUCAACAUGAAAAACACAGCAGUGUUGGAUUGUGUUGGGAUGGGAUGGUUUACUACAAUGAGGCAUAUAGAGCUCUUAUUUGUGCACGGCUGCUUAACAUUACAAUGUUAGAAGUGAAUAGUUGAUGGAGAAUGGAAAUGCACUCAUAAGUACAUUCCACUGGAAUUUCCAUAAACUAACAUAAGUACUCUUCAAUAAGCUCAUAUAUAGUAACCAUAUAUUUAACACUGUAAGUAAAUCAUUGGCACACAUUUUCUUUUUCUUUUUCUUUUUUUUGGACAGGCAGAGUGGACACUGAGAGAGAGACAGAAAGGUCUUCCUUUUGCCAUUGGUUCACCCUCCAAUAGCCGCCGUGGCUGGUGUGCUGUGGCUGGCGUACAGUGCUGAUCUGAAGGCAGGAGCCAGGUGCUUCUCCUGGUCUCCCAUGCGGGUACAGGGCCCAAGCACUUGGGCCAUCUUCCACUGCACUCCCUGGCCACAGCAGAGAGCUGGCCUGGAAGAGGGGCAACCAGGACAGAAUCUGGCAAACCGAAUGGGACUAGAACCCAGUGUGCCAGUGCCACAAGGCGGAGGAUUAGCCUAGUGAGCCGCAGCACUGGCCAGCACACAUUUUCAAAUUUUAAAAAUGCUGCUAUAAAAAGUUAUACUAAUUACACAUCUAAAAUUAAUGUUGGAGCUGGUACUGUGGCACAGCAUGUUAAAGCCCUGGCCUGAAGCACUGGCAUCCCAUAUGGGC